CUGCAGUCAACUAAGCUGACCAGGUUCUUCUCCUCAUGGGGCCCUAUGUACAACAGUUUCAAGCAAUAGCCUCCUUGGGAGUAUGCAGCCUGUACCUAGUUUGGGUUGCCCUAAAGGGUCUUUGAAACAGAG
ensembl:snoRNA SNORA70 Small nucleolar RNA SNORA70